rnacentral:rRNA from 1 species
AACGAACGCUGGCGGCAGGCUUAACACAUGCAAGUCAAACGGGUGCAGCAAUGCAUCAGUGGCAGACGGGUGAGUAACACGUGGGAACCUUCCUAGGGGUACGGAACAACUCAGGGAAACUUGAGCUAAUACCGUAUACGUCCGUGAGGAGAAAGAUUUAUCGCCCUUAGACGGGCCCGCGUCGGAUUAGCUAGUUGGUGGGGUAACGGCCUACCAAGGCGACGAUCCGUAGCUGAUCUUAGAGGAUGAUCAGCCACACUGGGACUGAGACACGGCCCAGACUCCUACGGGAGGCAGCAGUGGGGAAUCUUGGACAAUGGGCGCAAGCCUGAUCCAGCCAUGCCGCGUGAGUGAAGAAGGUCUUCGGAUUGUAAAGCUCUUUUGCCAGGGACGAUAAUGACGGUACCUGGAAAAUAAGCCCCGGCAAACUUCGUGCCAGCCGCCGCAGUAA